rnacentral:rRNA from 1 species
GAUGAACGCUGGCGGCGUGCUUAACACAUGCAAGUCGAACGGAGUAGUUCCGCUGACGAGACUUCGGUCAAAUCUUGGGACUACUUAGUGGCGGACGGGUGAGUAACGCGUGGGUAACCUGCCGUAUGCUGGGGGACAACAGUUGGAAACGACUGCUAAUACCGCAUAAGCGCACAGUACCGCAUGGUACAGUGUGAAAAACUCCGGUGGCAUACGAUGGACCCGCGUCUGAUUAGCUAGUUGGUGAGGUAACGGCCCACCAAGGCGACGAUCAGUAGCCGGCCUGAGAGGGUGAACGGCCACAUUGGGACUGAGACACGGCCCAAACUCCUACGGGAGGCAGCAGUGGGGAAUAUUGCACAAUGGGGGAAACCCUGAUGCAGCGACGCCGCGUGAGUGAAGAAGUAUUUCGGUAUGUAAAGCUCUAUCAGCAGGGAAGAAAAUGACGGUACCUGACUAAGAAGCCCCGGCUAACUACGUG